rnacentral:rRNA from 1 species
GAAACUGCGAAUGGCUCAUUAAAUCAGUUAUCGUUUAUUUGAUAGCACCUUUACUACAUGGAUACCUGUGGUAAUUCUAGAGCUAAUACAUGCUAAAAACCCCGACUUCGGAAGGGGUGUAUUUAUUAGAUAAAAAACCAAUGCCCUUCGGGGCUCCUUGGUGAAUCAUAAUAACUUAACGAAUCGCAUGGCCUUGCGCCGGCGAUGGUUCAUUCAAAUUUCUGCCCUAUCAACUUUCGAUGGUAGGAUAGUGGCCUACCAUGGUGGCAACGGGUAACGGGGAAUUAGGGUUCGAUUCCGGAGAGGGAGCCUGAGAAACGGCUACCACAUCCAAGGAAGGCAGCAGGCGCGCAAAUUACCCAAUCCCGAUACGGGGAGGUAGUGACAAUAAAUACUGAUACGGGGCUCUUUUGGGUCUCGUAAUUGGAAUGAGAACAAUUUAAAUCCCUUAACGAGGAACAAUUGGAGGGCAAGUCUGGUGCCAGCAGCCGCGGUAAUUCCAGCUCCAAUAGCGUAUAUUAAAGUUGUUGCAGUUAAAAAGCUCGUAGUUGAACCUUGGGUCUGGCUGGCCGGUCCGCCUCACCGCGAGUACUGGUCCGGCUGGACCUUUCCUUCUGGGGAACCUCAUGGCCUUCACUGGCUGUGGGGGGAACCAGGACUUUUACUGUGAAAAAAUUAGAGUGUUCAAAGCAGGCCUUUGCUCGAAUACAUUAGCAUGGAAUAAUAGAAUAGGACGUGCGGUUCUAUUUUUGUUGGUUUCUAGGACCGCCGUAAUGAUUAAUAGGGAUAGUCGGGGGCGUCAGUAUUCAGCUGUCAGAGGUGAAUUUCUUGGAUUUGCUGAGACUAACUACUGCGAAAGCAUUCGCCCAAGGAUGUUUUCAUUAAUCAGGGAACGAAAGUUAGGGGAUCGAAGACGAUCAGAUACCGUCGUAGUCUUAACCAUAAACUAUGCCGACUAGGGAUCGGACGGAUUCUAUGAUGACCCGUUCGGCACCUUACGAGAAAUCAAAGUUUUUGGGUUCUGGGGGGAGUAUGGUCGCAAGGCUGAAACUUAAAGAAAUUGACGGAAGGGCACCACAAGGCGUAAACGCAGACCGCGAAGCCGCAGUCGCUCUGCGCCGAACAGCAGCCCGAAAGGGUGAUGUGGUCGUCCUCGAAAUCUGCUAGUCGGGCCCCCCGGGCCCGGCGACACGCUCAAACUGCGGGGAACCCCUGAAGCUCGUAGCUACCAAGCCGUGCGGCGAAAGCCCGCGGUGGCCAGGUUAAUUACCUCGGGUACGGUGAUAACGCUAGGAGAUUGGGCAAUCCGCAGCCAAGCCCCUACGUCCCAACGGAUACGGGGAAGGUUCAGAGACUAGAUGGGCGUGGGUUGGACCCCCCAGCCGGUGCGGCCGGCGUGGGGAGGGCUCCAGCUUAAGAUAUAGUCCGGUGGGAUGAGAAAUCAUAUUCCACUCCCAUUCACGGGAGCCUGCGGCUUAAUUUGACUCAACACGGGGAAACUCACCAGGUCCAGACAAAAUAAGGAUUGACAGAUUGAGAGCUCUUUCUUGAUCUUUUGGAUGGUGGUGCAUGGCCGUUCUUAGUUGGUGGAGUGAUUUGUCUGCUUAAUUGCGAUAACGAACGAGACCUCGGCCCUUAAAUAGCCCGGUCCGCAUUUGCGGGCCGCUGG